GGCCGCCUGGCGAAAUGGCAUCGCGUCUGACUACGAAGUACGUGGGAUCAGGAGAUUGCAGGUUCGACCCCUGCGGUGGUCA